rnacentral:rRNA from 1 species
GACGAACGCUGGCGGCGUGCUUAACACAUGCAAGUCGAACGGAAAGGCCCUGCUUUUGUGGGUUGCUCGAGUGGCGAACGGGUGAGUAACACGUGAGUAACCUGCCCUUGACUUUGGGAUAACUUCAGGAAACUGGGGCUAAUACCGGAUAGGAGCUCCUGCUGCACGGUGGGGGUUGGAAAGUUUCGGCGGUUGGGGAUGGACUGGCGGCUUAUCAGCUUGUUUGUGGGGUAGUGGCUUACCAAGGCUUUGACGGGUAGCCGGCAUGAGAGGGUGACCGGCCACAUUGGGACUGAGAUACGGCCCAGACUCCUACGGGAGGCAGCAGUGGGGAAUAUUGCACAAUGGGCGGAAGCCUGAUGCAGCAACGCCGCGUGCGGGAUGACGGCCUUCGGGUUGUAAACCGCUUUCGCAUGUGACGAAGCGUGAGUGACGGUAAUGGGUAAAGAAGCACCGGCUAACUACGUG